rnacentral:rRNA from 1 species
GACGAACGCUGGCGGCGUGCUUAACACAUGCAAGUCGAACGAAGAGCGAUGGAAGCUUGCUUCUAUCAAUCUUAGUGGCGAACGGGUGAGUAACGCGUAAUCAACCUGCCCUUCAGAGGGGGACAACAGUUGGAAACGACUGCUAAUACCGCAUACGAUCUAAUCUCGGCAUCGAGGAUAGAUGAAAGGUGGCCUCUACAUGUAAGCUAUCACUGAAGGAGGGGAUUGCGUCUGAUUAGCUAGUUGGGGGGGUAACGGCCCACCAAGGCGAUGAUCAGUAGCCGGUCUGAGAGGAUGAACGGCCACAUUGGGACUGAGACACGGCCCAGACUCCUACGGGAGGCAGCAGUGGGGAAUCUUCCGCAAUGGACGAAAGUCUGACGGAGCAACGCCGCGUGAGUGAUGACGGCCUUCGGGUUGUAAAGCUCUGUUAAUCGGGACGAAAGGCCUUCUUGCGAAUAGUGAGAAGGAUUGGCGGUACCGGAAUAGAAAGCCACGGCUAACUACGUG